rnacentral:rRNA from 1 species
GUGAGGAAUUUUCCGCAAUGGGCGAAAGCCUGACGGAGCAAUGCCGCGUGAAGGAUGAAGGCCUAUGGGUUGUAAACUUCUUUUCUCAGAAAAGAAUUAUGACGGUAUCUGAGGAAUAAGCAUCGGCUAACUCUGUGCCAGCAGCCGCGGUAAGACAGAGGAUGCAAGCGUUAUCCGGAAUGAUUGGGCGUAAAGCGUCUGUAGGUUGUUUAAAAAGUAUUCUGUCAAAGAUUAGGGCUUAACCCUAGAUAGGCAGAAUAAACUUUUAAGCUAGAGUGUGGUAGAGGCAGAGGGAAUUCCCGGUGGAGCGGUGAAAUGCGUAGAUAUCGGGAGGAACACCAAAGGCGAAGGCACUCUGCUGGGCCAAUACUAACACUGAGAGACGAAAGCGAGGGGAGCAAAUGGGAUUAGAUACCCUGGUAGUCC